UCAAGGCAGGCCUGCAGAGGCUGUGGCCGGCAGGACCUUGCUCCAAGACACCCUCCGUGAAGCUUCAAAAAUUAGAAAAUGGAUUUAAAAAUAAAAGGAGCUUAGCCUUCCCUCCCUCCCCGCUUGUCUUUUCUAAGCAUAUAGGCUUCACAUUUGUAAGCUUCACUCUGCCACUUCUAGCAAGAGCUAAAAAUGUACUAGAAAAAAAGCUGAAGUUCUCACAAUACCAUGUUUUGGGACUCAGAGCUAUGAGAAUGGCCAAACACCGGGAGAUCUGUGACAAAGCUGAGAACAUCCUUUAUACGUGGAGGCAGCCUCCGCGCGCUCAUGCAAGUGCAGCGUACAGACAAGUUUUUAAACGGGACCAUCUUCCUUGUGAGCGCCUGGAGAACAGCAUCGCGGCGUGCAUCUCACUGCUGAAACGUCCUCAGAAGCUCUGCACUUUUUCUGUCUAGUGGAAGCACUCAGAAAGCUUCUCUUAUCUCCCUAAACACAAGAAGAAACACUCACUGCCUGGAAGGGUACACUAGGGAUGUUCAAAACUGGCAAAAGAAAAUGAUCACAUUCAAACAGCUAAUUCAUGGAAAAAGUUGUGGUACACUUAACUACACUAGUGCAGUUUUUUCUGAAGUAUCUGCAGUAGUGAAAGUCAUUAUAUUGGCUUUAUUUAUACCACUUCUAUAUGGAAAGACUAUAAGACUGUCUCUUAA